GAAGGAGUCCCAUUCCAAUUCUCAUUCCAAGAUGGAAUGGAAAUGGCUCAAUCUAUAUAGAACUCAAUCUCUACUCUGCUCUAUGGAUUCAAUUUUUCAUUCCAAUUCUGAUUACGGUCACGAAUCAAAUGCUUCGGAGGAUUUGGCCAUUCCGAUUCUGAUUCCAAGCCAUUCCAAUUUUCAUUCCCAUUCUGAUUCCAGUUAUGAACCAAAUACCCUCUUAGUGUUAAUAGUAUCAACCUAAAGGAAGCAGAGUGAACCAGAUCUUAAAUUACGUUUCUUUAGCUCGGAUUUCUAUUAUUGCACACAUAAUACUGAAGCUCAUGUCGCAAGUUUGCACAUUAAUGAUCGUAUGCAGCUAUGUUGAUUAUUUCAUAAGAGUUUCUAGAGAUUGUCUAUAUUCCUAGCCAUAGUCAAAUACGGAUAUUCUCCCAUAAAUGAGCCCCUCCAAAGAUAUGUACAGUGUCACAUCUUAAGGAAUACCUUUUGGAGUUCAUUCAAAGUUAAACUCUUCCUAACCACUAUAUAGGAACGCCUAUCACUAUAAGAAUUGGUUGGAGUCUAUGACUUGUAUAUCAGAUAAAUCACGUAUACUCACUGACCAAUCAAUUAGCUUGUUAUUAUCGUAUUGAAUCUUCUUUAAGAGAUCUCCUAUCAUAGAGAUUGGAUUUUUCAUUACUUAAAGAUUUUUUAAAGGCUAAGCCCAUCCUCCUCAAUGACUUCCAGAUUUUUGUCUUAUUUAAACUUUUUGUAAGGCAAUCUGUAAGAUAAAGAUUGGUUACAACAAAUUAUUCUUUAUUAAAUCCCUACCACAAAUAAUCCACAAAUUUCAGCAUAGAUAUGGUACUGAUCAUAGAUAACAGCAUGAUAACAGUGUGAAUUUUUAUUUUUAUUUAUUAUUAUUAUUAUUUUUAAAAUCAUUCCGGCAGUCAAUACAAAAUUCAGAAGAGUGCCAAGCACGAUUGCACGAGGAUGUAAACAUUUGGUCUUGUGGAGAGGUAAAAGAUUGGCUUAAAAAUCAUGUAGGAAGGAACAUACAAGAUGGGAAC
rnacentral:lncRNA from 1 species